rnacentral:rRNA from 1 species
GAGUUUGAUCGUGGCUCAGAUUGAACGCUGGCGGAAUGCUUUACACAUGCAAGUCGAGCGGCAGCGCGGGGCAACCUGGCGGCGGGCGGCGAACGGGUGAGUAAUGCAUCGGAACAUGUCCAUUGAUGGGGGAUAGCCCGGCGAAAGCCGGAUUAAUACCGCAUACGUCCGAGAGGAGAAAGUGGGGGACCGCAAGGCCUCACGUCGAUGGGUUGGCCGAUGUCCGAUUAGCUAGUUGGUGAGGUAAAGGCUCACCAAGGCGAUGAUCGGUAGCUGGUCUGAGAGGAUGAUCAGCCACACUGGGACUGAGACACGGCCCAGACUCCUACGGGAGGCAGCAGUGGGGAAUUUUGGACAAUGGGGGCAACCCUGAUCCAGCCAUUCCGCGUGAGUGAAGAAGGCCUCGGUU